GAAAUGUCCACUCCUUGCCCUCAAACUGCAAGCACAGCACCUCGGUGUGGAGAUCUGUCGACACCUAGAUCUCGACAUGCAGCAGGAGGUUGUCCCAUGGAUGGCUAUCGCUCUAGGUCCAGAGGUAGGUCCAGCAGAGGAU